rfam:Prochlorococcus marinus str. NATL2A, complete genome.
GGAGAGGUGGCUGAGUGGUCGAAAGCGAACGACUCGAAAUCGUUUGAUAGCUAAAACUAUCCGUGGGUUCGAAUCCCACCCUCUCCG